AUGCUGUUGAGGAGCGCAGCCUCCACCUCUGGGGACACACUUCUCCUGAGCAAGCACAUGGCAUACUCCAUCAUUGAUGUGUCACAGGGCAGCGUGAUUCUGCCACUGUUAACGCCUGUGAAGCCGAACUCCUCUUGGGACAUCCUCAACAGCUCGUCGAAGACGGUCGUGCCGAGGAACGCAAGCGGCACCUCGAACCUCACACCGUCGGUAGUGUACACGACGAAGUGGCCCUUGCCAGCCACAGGCGAGCACGACGUGCCGCACGGCCCUCCGGUUUCCUCCCCUGAUGUUGAUGAGGUGAGCCUCUUCCUCCCCAUAGCCACCACCCUCUGCCACUUCUUGGCCAGCUGA
rnacentral:rRNA from 1 species